rnacentral:rRNA from 1 species
GACGAACGCUGGCGGCGUGCUUAACACAUGCAAGUCGAACGGAAAGGCCCUUCGGGGUACUCGAGUGGCGAACGGGUGAGUAACACGUGGGUGAUCUGCCCUGCACUUUGGGAUAGGCCUGGGAAACUGGGUCUAAUACCGAAUAGGACCGCAUGCUUCAUGGUGUGUGGUGGAAAGCUUUUGCGGUGUGGGAUGGGCCCGAGGACUAUCAGCUUGUUGAUGGGGUAAUGGCCUACCAAGGCGACGACGGGUAGCCGGCCUGGGAGGGUGACCGGCCACACUGGGACUGAGAUACGGCCCAGACUCCUACGGGAGGCAGCAGUGGGGAAUAUUGCACAAUGGGCGCAAGCCUGAUGCAGCGACGCCGCGUGAGGGAUGACGGCCUUCGGGUUGUAAACCUCUUUCAGCAGGGACGAAGCGCAAGUGACGGUACCUGCAGAAGAAGGACCGGCCAACUACGUGCCAGCCGCCGCCGUAA